UGUGUAGCACUUAUCGAUAUAUAAUAUGAUCAAAAUCGACCCGUCCACAUCCCUAAAAAUCCACACAUACACAUUUUUACGCACAUAUACAAAGCAGUAUAACCACCAAAAUGGCUACGGCUUGAGUAUUCAAAUUUGUAUUGAGAAAAGGCAACUAUAUCCUGUCUUUAUUUGCCUCUCUAUCGCUCGAAUAUGCAAUACGCAUGCACUCUUCGUCAAAAUCGGUUUCAAACUUUUUCGACUGAGUACGCGCAAUAAACGCCUAGUAGUAGUAUUUAAAUGUUUACCGUAUUCAUUUAAAGCAUCGUAGGACAAUGCCGCUAUGUAAACUGUAAGGUGGGUCUUAAAUUAGUGUGAGUUAUUUUGGCACCGGACUCAACCUUCACGUUACAAUAUUUAAAGUAUUGCGCUGUCAUAGUAACGAAAAUGAUAAACACGUCAAUCGGAGUAAACAAGUAACUAAAUGAUGCAAACAAGAAAAUAUUGCAAAAUAGGUACAUAUAUAUGUACCGAUAAUUAUUUUGUGUUAAAAAUAUGAGGCAAAUUAUACUGCCCGAUUAUACGGACUACAUAUUAAAAACGAUUAUCUUGGAAACAGUCAAUAGAUGUCGAACCACCAGCAAAGUUUUUGAAGAGGUGUACCUAGUUCCUGGUACCAACUGGAAACUGAAACUAAUAAUCUACACUCAAGAAAAUGAAAUAUAGUCACAGAAAACUUUAAUGUUUUAUUUUAUUAAAGAAAAACGUUAGAAAAAUGUGUAAACAGAAA